GGGUAUCCUUUUCCUGGUGCUCAUCCCCAGGCAGGACGUUAAGGAGCCACCCUGCCUCCCUGUAGCACCUUUGCUGUGUGGAAGAAGUUGUGGAAGAAGAUAAUCAGGCCUGGAGGACAGAAUGCAGAAUUUGGUUUAGGAUAAAUCCAGUAAACCCAAAACAGGAAAUGGAAUUUAAUGAGUUCACUGGGACCGCCUUCGCCUCCUCGACUCUUCACUGGGAGUGACUCUCCUGCCCACUGACUACAUCAGCU